rnacentral:lncRNA from 1 species
CUUCAGAUCCAAAUGGUAUGCUAGCAUUCUCUUCCUAGCAGUCCACUAUCAAGACUUACUUCACUGUUAGAAGAAGAAUCACACCAGAAUUAAGGUCAAAUGGAUUAUCUUAUUCUUAAUUGCUGAAAAUCACACCUCAUUGAAAUUCGCUUCAUAACUGAACCAUGAAUUUUUCAUCAAACAUACUUUUGUAUUUCUCCUCCUGG